rnacentral:pre_miRNA from 1 species
CGGAGGCACCCCCGCCCGGGCAGCGCGCCGGCACCUUGGCUCUAGACUGCUUACUGCCCGGGCCGCCCUCAGUAACAGUCUCCAGUCAC